CACUGUACAUAAGCGCCAUUUACAUGCGCCGCUAAACAGUGUCAACUGACGCAUGUCACCAGUCAACUGUUCAAUUUUCAAUAUAAAUUAGGAGCAAUUAAGGUCAGACUUCUCUUGUGGUGCAUCUCUUAAUCGAUGUUUUGUGGAGAUAUAAGAAGAGAACAAUGUGUGCCAUCUGUUGCCUCUCAGACAUGGGCACCGCCAGCCUCGGCGAACCCUGAGACACUUUGGAACGAGAUGUGCUUGACGGCAUCUCACGUACAUAACUUCUGGUCGGAGACCUGCGAAUGAUUAUCGUAACACUGAUGUAAAGAUCCUAAUCAUCUAACGGUAAUUAUUCGAAACGGGAACACUGGAAUAAAUAAAUCGAGCUUAUACCACGCCUGUAUUGUGUUACAGAAUUGGAUUCUGUCGAAUUUUGCUGAUUAGAAGUGUAGCCUAUGGAAGGACACCAGAAGAAAGGAAAUAGAGAGUACAGUGUAGUAAAGUGAUGUGAUAAAUUGCGGGCACAUUUAACAUGGCAAACACAAUGAAACCAGCCACAGGCUAUUCCACAUCACUGGCAAGAUCAACAAACUUCGCAAUCAUGUGCAGGAUCUGGAACUUGCUCUUCCAUUGAAUUUGAACAUGAACCCUAUGCACACUGCCUUGAAGAUGGUACUAAUGCUGCAACACUCAUCACCACAGUGCAGAGAACAUUUCUGCAGAGGCAGAAGGUGAAGAUAAAUCAAACUUAAAAACUCUGUCAGCUCAAGCAAAUUCUUCCAUGUUGUGACAAUAUCUAAUAGCAAACUCUAUUACAGAACUGUGAACACAGGCUUUGUGGCUAGUGAAUUUGGUGCAGUGAAUUUUUCCACAAGGACUGAGGGUGUGAUUGUAUCAGACUAAGGAACUUUAACAGUUUAAGUCUGAUAUUUGAAUCCUUACCACUUAACUUCAUGGUACGCAUAUGUAGCACUAGGCAGUAUCAAUGUGCAACUCAUUUCUGCUCUCCUCACACAUCAGCAGAAAGCCUUGAAAUGUGCCAUGCACAAGAUUACUCUGUGGUAGAAAUAUCUUUUACCCACAAUGACAGUGAUGCAGGAGGACCUCUAAUUAUUUUACUUUUAUUAAUGACACCAUAGUAACAGUGAUACCAUAUAAGCUGCUACAACAAUUUUAUG